UACGGGGGGGGCAAGCGUUGUUCGGAAUUACUGGGCGUAAAGGGCUCGUAGGCGGCCAACUAAGUCAAACGUGAAAUCCCUCGGCUUAACCGGGGAACUGCGUCUGAUACUGGAUGGCUUGAGUUUGGGAGAGGGAUGCGGAAUUCCAGGUGUAGCGGUGAAAUGCGUAGAUAUCUGGAGGAACACCGGUGGCGAAGGCGGCAUCCUGGACCAAUAUUGACGCUGAGGAGCGAAAGCUAGGGGAGCAAACGGG
rnacentral:rRNA from 1 species